AUUGAACGCUGGCGGCAGGCCUAACACAUGCAAGUCGAGCGGAUGACGGGAGCUUGCUCCUUGAUUCAGCGGCGGACGGGUGAGUAAUGCCUAGGAAUCUGCCCGGUAGUGGGGGACAACGUUUCGAAAGGAACGCUAAUACCGCAUACGUCCUACGGGAGAAAGCAGGGGACCUUCGGGCCUUGCGCUAUCAGAUGAGCCUAGGUCGGAUUAGCUAGGAGGUGAGGUAAUGGCUCACCUAGGCGACGAUCCGUAACUGGUCUGAGAGGAUGAUCAGUCACACUGGAACUGAGACACGGUCCAGACGCCUACGGGAGGCAGCAGUGGGGAAUAUUGGACAAUGGGCGAAAGCCUGAUCCAGCCAUGCCGCGUGUGUGAAGAAGGUCUUCGGAUUGUAAAGCACUUUAAGUUGGGAGGAAGGGCAGUAAGUUAAUACCUUGCUGUUUUGACGUUACCGACAGAAUAAGCACCGGCUAACUCUGUGCCAGCCGCCGCAGUAA
rnacentral:rRNA from 1 species